UGCAGCUCUCACUGCCGCGAUUCUGGGAGAGUUCUGUGAGGAGGGCCAGCUGCAGAGGAGGGGACACAGUCAGCGGGGGCUGGAGGUAAGACCGGGCAUGGACCCCACAUCUGCAUCUAGCUAACAACAUUGGUGACUCUGCACAUGUUCACGUCCUCUGGUAAGGCCUAAAUUUUCUCCUUUAACAAGGAGGAGGCUGGACGUGGUCAGUCUCACAGGCACGUCACACUGUGACACUUUCUGACAUGGCAAAGCGUCUGAGCCUCCCUCACGCUGUGUACCCUCUGCAGACGGCACGUGACCCUGUUGCCCAGCUCACUUCAAACUCCCUUUCUCCUUAGUGGGCUUUCCUCAGAGUGAGUGGUGAUCUCUGGCUCUGUCUUGCCUUCAUGAUCCAGAUAGCUCCCGAUGGACGCCCCAGCUGCCACUUCAAACUCAGGGCCUCCAGGGACACUCACGGAUGCCACCUUCUCUUCUAAGUGCCCUCCCUGCUCCCCGGUGUUCACCAGUGACACCCUCCACCUGUUACAGGCUCGGUGCUGGGAGACCUGCCAAGGAAGGCAGACCGUGGAUCUAGCCCGCCGGGAAGAUUAGGUACAGAGCCUGAUGACCUAGUCCCGAGAUGCCCUUGACGUCAGAGGAGAGUGGAGUGCCACACCUGGAAUUUACCUGGAGAGACAGCAGCUGUGAGGACCGAGCUGUCUCCUACAGCAGCGCAAGCCUCCCAGUGCCAGGACUUCCCCAAGCCCCAGUUACAGGAAUUCAGUAGUUUAAGGGCUUUUGGAAUCAAGACCAGUUUCCCUAGUCUCCACUGCAGUUAGGUCAUGUGUCUAAGUACUGGACAAAGAAGGAAUGCAGAUGUGAUGGUUGGAGCUGGGGCAACCAUGCUGAACCAUGGGGAAGAACCCUAAGCACUAAGAUAGAAUGGAAAUAAGUGCCACCCCUGAAUAAACCAUGCUCGUGAGUGUGAAACAGCUUCACAGCUUCAUCUUCUGUGAAAGGAUGUGUUUCAAGAUCGGAAGAGCAGCUAACAGUAAGGACGCUCACAGCACCCGGGCUUGUGUGAUCCCGCUGUGCUGUCCUGGAGACCAGCCCAGGCCCCAGGUGCCUUAACUCUUCCUGAUGCUCUCAGUGACAUGGGGGUGGCGGAGGUUGGCCCGUGGGAAUCCCAAGCCGGGCAGCCAGAAAGAGAGGAGGAUGGCCCCACUUUUCAUUCUAGACUCACACCUCUGUGUUUCCAGACACAUGGAGAGAUUACUCUGUACUCUGAGAAUGUUCCAACUUGCCUUGACACUUUAAGAUUUCUCAAUUUAAUUUGGUAGAAAAACGAUCCUGUAUCUUGGAGAGAAACUUUGUGGAGUAUCACACUUUAGUUUAUACUAAGUAAGAUGCACAGGGGCGUUCCAAGCUAAAGAUGAUCUGAAGGUUUGAAAAAUACUGCAAACCAAGCUCAAACAAGCAAGAAGAGAAAAACACAUAAAUACUUUUGAGAGACUUAACAAUGGAAAACAUGGUCCUGCCCUGAUUUUCCACAUCCCUCCAGUACUGCUGGCAUGAACUGGGGAGCAGGACUGGUUAUGGAUGACACCUGCCUCUCACUGGCCACUCAGCACCUCAGCGGUGGGGCCUGCCAUCCCCAUAGUCCAUAUGACAAGGGACCAAACCACCCUGACCUUACUUUUGCUGAUUCCAUGGUUACUCCAUGGUAAAGUGUAGAGGAGGGUCUAAGUGGAACAAAGUCAGGAAUGGACUAGGUAGGGUGGUGCUGGGUGGGGGUGUUAAAGUGGUUGAUUAAAAAGAAGGUUGUAAAAGCCAAGCUGGAAAUUGACAAAGUAACGAGAGCAAGAAAAAGAUCUCAUGAAAUACACUGCUGUGCUUCUUAUGAAAAUGUAGAUGAUGAGCCACUGAAGAAAUGCCCAUCAAACCCUGUGCUGAGAAAACUGUACUGGACACAAUUACUAGUUAUAUAUACUUUCUGCCAAUUGUGUUUUCUUUGCUUUUGUCACAAGAGAACUCAAAGCUAAGUGGUGAGCUACGUAAGACUAGCCACUGUACAGGACAUGGUGGCAACCAGAUUAGGUUUUACAUUGUUUUCCAGAGGCAGAACCUAGAUUUCUGCAUUUGUUUCAUCAUUGGAUGUAUUUUGGAAGCCAAAUCAAGGUCCUGUGAGCUCAGAAGCAGAGAAGGCACGUGGCACACUCACAGAUCACUCUCAACGGUGAUGAGCCGAAAACGUCUCCUCUUAAGGUUAGGGACGAGACAAGGAUGUCUACACUCACUACUUUUAUUCAGCAUAGCCAUGGCACUCAGAGAGGAAAAAGAAAAGGACUCCAAAUUGGAAAUGAAGUAGAGCCCUCAUUGUUUGCAAUGAUAGGAUACUAUACACAGAAAACCCUAAGGCCGCUACCAGAAAACUACUAGGCCCAUCAAUGAAUCUGAUAAAGUUGCAGGAUACAAAAUUAAUACACAGGAAUCUCUUGCAUUCCUAUACACUAACAAUGAAAGAAAGAGAAAUUAAGGAAACAAUCCCAUUUGCCAUCACAUCAAAAAAAAUAAAAUACCCAAGCAUAAACCUACUUGAGGAGGCAAAUAACCUCUACUCUGAAAACUCUUAAGACGCUGAUAAAAGUACUGAAAGAUAACACAAAUGGAAAGAUAUACCAUGUACUUGUAUUGGAACAAUCAAUGCUCAAAAUGAGUAUACUACUCAAGGCAAUCUGCAGAUUCAGUGCCAUCCCUAUCAAAUUAGUAAUGCCAUUUUAUAUAGA